ensembl:misc_RNA Gm27308 predicted gene, 27308
UAGGCAAAUAGAAGCCUAAGGAGUGUAGUGGGUUUCGCAGGUCAGACUUGGGGACUCUUGGAGGCAGCAGCGACUGUUCACCCUGGGACUGCCAGGCGCGCGGGGCCGGGAAGCCAGCUGGUGGCAGUCAGGCAUCUGGAACCAGAAUGAGGCUUGAAGCUUUCCAACUAAACCUGGGUGGGGGGGGGGGGCAGUCAAGGAUGUUGACUGUAAACACAAAGAAAUCUAGCAUUUC